rnacentral:rRNA from 1 species
UACGAAGGUCCCAAGCGUUAUCCGGAUUUAUUGGGUUUAAAGGGUGCGUAGGCGGUUUAUUAAGUCAGUGGUGAAAGCCUUCAGCUUAACUGAAGAAUUGCCAUUGAUACUGAUGAUCUUGAGUAUGAUUGAGGUGGGCGGAAUGUGUCAUGUAGCGGUGAAAUGCUUAGAUAUGACACAGAACACCGAUUGCGAAGGCAGCUCACUAAGUCAUAACUGACGCUGAUGCACGAAAGCGUGGGGAGCAAACAGG